rnacentral:rRNA from 1 species
UACGCAGGGUGCAAACGUUGCUCGGAAUUAUUGGGCGUAAAGCGCACGUAGGCGGCUUAGCAAGUUGGAUGUGAAAUCCCUCGGCUCAACCAAGGAAGUGCAUCCAAAACUGCUGAGCUUGAGUACUUAAGAGGAUCGCGGAAUUCCCGGUGUAGAGGUGAAAUUCGUAGAUAUCAAGAGGAAUACCGGAGGCGAAGGCGGAUAGCUGGGCCAACAUUGACGCUGAGACCCGAAAGCGUGGGGAUCAAACAGG